rnacentral:rRNA from 1 species
UACGGAGGGCGCAAGCGUUGUCCGGAAUUAUUGGGCGUAAAGAGCUCGUAGGCGGCCUGUUGCGUCCGCUGUGAAAUCCCGGGGCUCAACCCCGGGCCUGCAGUGGAUACGGGCUGGCUAGAGGCAGGCAGGGGAGAACGGAAUUCCUGGUGUAGCGGUGAAAUGCGCAGAUAUCAGGAGGAACACCGGUGGCGAAAGCGGCUCACUGGACCACAACUGACGCUGAUGCGCGAAAGCUAGGGGAGCAAACAGG